GCCCGGAUGGUGAAAUUGGUAGGCGACACUGCGGACUUAAAAUCCGCCGCGCCUCUAUCGGCGCAUACCGGUUCGACUCCGGUUCCGGGCA
rnacentral:tRNA from 2 species